GAAAGCUGACCAACACACUGCAUCCCUGCCUCGCUUAGCCAAACACUGGCACUCCUGUGCAUGUGGCUGCUACCCUACCUCCUGGUCCACGGCCACUAGGAUGCAGAAGUAGGUGGGCAGGCUGUCCUGAAACCAACGUAGAGGAGCAGCCCACUCGGGAGCGUGUGACUCGAGGAACAGUGUGGUGCUGUGCACAUCAAAGGCAGCGGACACACAAUGGGGAAGGAAGCGGAAGAGAAGGAGGCGCGUUCGGAGCGGAGGCCCGCCUUCCUGUCUAGCCAAAGCUGAGAGACGGACACCUGUCUCCCAGGUGAGCUCUCUGUGAGGGAGUCAGCAUUAAGGCCUGGAAAUGCCAGGUCUUGUCAACUGAUAGCCACUGACCAGGUCUGCUUCCUGGAGCCUUCCAAAGCAGAACUGUCUGAAGAAGCAGGUAAAAUGAGUUGCAGGAAACUCGUGUUCCAUCCCUAACUAUCAAACCGUCAAGAGACUGCGGUCAGAGGGAAGGAUGACCACAGAAGCACUUUGCUGGAGGCUUGUGUGGAUAGACAAGGUUGUUUCCCAGACCUCCCGCCCCCCCCACCCCCACAUACUCUUUUUCCACAAGAAGGAUGAGAAGAGAGCCCACAGCACAGACUGGCAGGAAAGCCCCAGUCUCUUCCACACUGGCCAGCAGUCUGGGAAGUCAGUUGAACAAUGGUGGAACUCAUCCUGCAAAGGGCAGGCAAGAGGGUGACAGAAGUCCACCCACCCCCAUGUCCUACAGCUCCCAACCCCCAGGGGACAGACAUGCCUGUGUCUAGACCGAGCAGAGCCUAACUGCUCACAAGAGAAAAAAAUGGGGCAGCCUAAGCCGUUCUCCGGCUUGAACAAAAGGCAAAUAUCCUAGACAUGGCAGUCCAAACACCCUGGCCUUGUCCGUCUCACUGUGACGUCAGCGUAUGAGCCAGGUGAAGGGCAAAGCCACGCCUGGCUUGGCCUCUCUCUAGAGUCCCUGACUCAGCCAAUCAGGCCUCACCAAGAAGGAACCUUUGUGACAGGAGUCCCAGAGUCACAGGCUCUGGUGUUACUAUUUUUUCACAUUUGUCAAAUGCCAUGGCACACGGAGUCCACGGGGGAAGCGGGGGUGGGUAGGUUUGGUGGGCUGGCACGGGCAAGAGAUAAACAGAUGCGUGGCAUUCCAGAGCUCUGAGCGAAGACGCCCCUGCAAGCCGGGGAGCUGCUCGUGUGUGUGUGUGUGUGUGUGUGUGUGUGUGUGUGUGUGUUGUCAUCUCUAGCACUGUUCUCAGAACUUUCCACCCCGCACUUGGCAAAAGGAUAAAUCAGAACCUGACGACUUCUUGGCUACGGUCACCCUCUGCCAUGAGUGUCAGCACUGCCAGGCACUCCCUGGGGACAUGCUUGGCUCCUUCAUUUCAAGCACACAGUAAUAAAAAGACAGCUGGAUGCAGGGA